GGGCCCGCACAAGCGGUGGAGUAUGUGGUUUAAUUCGAUGCAACGCGAAGAACCUUACCAGGGUUUGACAUCCUGCGAAUCUCUUGGAAACAGGAGAGUGCCUUCGGGAACGCAGUGACAGGUGGUGCAUGGCUGUCGUCAGCUCGUGUCGUGAGAUGUUGGGUUAAGUCCCGCAACGAGCGCAACCCACGUCUUUAGUUGCCAUCAUUUAGUUGGGCACUCUGAAAGAACUGCCAGUGAUAAGCUGGAGGAAGGUGGGGAUGACGUCAAGUCCUCAUGGCCCUUAUGUGUUGGGCUACACACGUGCUACAAUGGCACUUACAAUGGGAUGCGAAGAGGCGACUCUAAGCUAAUCCCAAAAAUGUGUCUCAGUUCGGAUUGUACUCUGUAACUCGAGUGCAUGAAGCUGGAAUUGCUAGUAAUCGC
rnacentral:rRNA from 1 species